rnacentral:rRNA from 1 species
UACGAAGGGGGCUAGCGUUGCUCGGAAUCACUGGGCGUAAAGGGUGCGUAGGCGGGUCUUUAAGUCAGGGGUGAAAUCCUGGAGCUCAACUCCAGAACUGCCUUUGAUACUGAGGAUCUUGAGUUCGGGAGAGGUGAGUGGAACUGCGAAGUGUAGAGGUGAAAUUCGUAGAUAUUCGCAAGAACACCAGUGGCGAAGGCGACACACUGGGCCAUUACUGACGCUGAGGCGCGAAAGCGUGGGGAGCAAACAGG